rnacentral:rRNA from 1 species
AUACGGAGGGUGCAAGCGUUAAUCGGAAUUACUGGGCGUAAAGCGUGCGUAGGUGGUUUGUUAAGUCAGAUGUGAAAGCCCCGGGCUCAACCUGGGAACUGCAUUUGAAACUGGCAUACUAGAGUAUACGAGAGGAAAGUGGAAUUUCAGGUGUAGCGGUGAAAUGCGUAGAUAUCUGAAGGAACAUCAAUGGCGAAGGCAGCUUUCUGGACUAAUACUGACACUGAGGUACGAAAGCGUGGGUAGCAAACAGAAUUAGAAACCCUAGUAGUCC